rnacentral:snRNA from 1 species
GGAUGUGAGGAUAAUCUGGCAACGACUCGUGAUACCCCAUUGAAGGCCAGCAUUGAUUUUGUUGAUCUGACUAGCUAGGUGGCUAUUCCCUUACUCCCUCAACUCCCCAAUGGAAUCAAUCUCAAAGCUACACAGUCAGUCCAAGAAGAUGAUCUCCCUGGAAUACAGUCUUUAGUCAAGCAUAUACAAGUAGCUGAGCUCCCAUGCUCGAACACCCAAACAAUAUCCUCAUAGAGAGGGUUAUGGACCUAAGAAAUUUUUAGGGUUACAAAUUUCCAGGUCACCU